ensembl:lncRNA
AUCCCUGACAGCCAUCAGUUGUUGAAAAUAUGACAAUGGUCCUCAGGCUAAUCCAAGGCCACAUUUGAGAUGGUAGCCUGAGAAAAAUAGCCAGCGGUUCUAUCUUACCACUUUGUAUGUCAUCGAUGUAGAAACUCAAAAGACACAUGUGUCUCUCCAAGUAAUGGGUCGAGGUUCUGUACACAGAGGAGUGUUUACAUUUAGCCUGUGCCUUCAGUGAUGCUGCAUUUCCCUGGCUUCCUGUUCAAGCUAUGCUGCCCACAGAACAUACAUGUCCAAGUCUCCUAGACUGUGCAGAAAUAGAAGACCCUUGGCUUUGAGUGUGUGCAAUGCUCUAGAACUUGUUGCCAUUUUUUCCAAGUGGCUUUGGACCCGGUUUGAGAGGCAAGCUCUGAUUAUGACCCAGCUGUGAUAAAUGUUAAUUCCAGUUCACAUAUGUGACAAUGUUUACCUGGCAAAAACAGAUCUUUCCUUCCACUCAGAUCUCUGGUUCUCCAACUCAUGUGUUCAGUGUUAGCAAUUGGAUUUUUAGAGGAAUUUUCUUUGGACUAAGUUUUGGAAUAAAACACUCAGACAAGUUGGGAAGGAAAGAUGUGUACAUAGAAAGUCUAGGAAUUCCAUCCCCUUGGGCUCUUGGCCACUUAACAGGGAAAUAUCUGAAUGAAGCAGGGCAAGAGCUGUCUUUUGAGUGUGUAGAAUUGUGUACUCCUGAAGACACCAGCUUAGAUGCCUACCCUGUACCCUAGGAGAAUGUUCCACUGGUAAAGUGCUUGUCUUGUAAGUUUGAAGACCUGGGCUCAUUCCAUGUAGAGCCAAAGUUCUGGAGCCGAAAGACAGGGACAACCUGGGUCCUGCUAACUAGCCAGCCUAGCCUAUGUCUCAAAGUCCAAAGCGACACCGUACCUCAAAAUACAAGGUGAGGCCAUAGAAAUGGCUCAAUGGGUAAGAGUGCUUGCUACCAAGCAUUGUGAUCUAAAUUCAUCCUCAGAACCCACAUGAUAGGAAAACCCUAUCAUGCAAGCAGUCUUUCACACAUGUAGAGUGGCACUUGUUUCUCUCUCUCUCUCUCUCUCUCUCUCUCUCUCUCUCUCUCUCUCUCACACACACACACACACACACACACACACACACUCACCAUCUAAAGUAACCAUUUAAAGACUUGAGGUUCUGAGUUUGUGUGUCCCAGUCAACAAAAAGGACUGCAUGUUAGGGACACAGAAAUGAGACUAGUGCCUGCUUUUAAAAAGUAUCAAAAUCCUGAGGACAAAUGGUAGGCAGCCACACAAAGAGGCACGAGUGAGAAUCAGAAGAACAAAGCCAGCGAGAGCCCCAGAUGAUCUAAGGUGCAAAGCUGGCCAGCAGUGUCUCCUUCCAUGUCUUUUCAACAUACCUACCUGUAGUGGAAAGCCUGUCAGGGCCAUGUUGGUGCUUAUAACCCUGAAUCUUCAGUUUUACAUUUAUCCUUUGACAUUUGCAAUAUCCUAGUGCGUUUGCAAUAUGUAUCCUCUGCUGUGGUUCAGAGUGCUGUCCCAGAAAUUUCAUCGGGCAUAAGAAGUCUCCUGUUAAAGGGCUUCUCAGUGAGUUGCACAAUUUGCGGAGGUUUUAACUUUUCCUUCUGGCCUCAGAAGAGAUGAGGAAUGCAGGACAUCAGGUGCUCUGAUGGCUUAUUUGUUAAACAAAUAUUUAUUGAGCAACUUGUAUCUACUUGACAUUGGUUAGGAGACCAAGCAGACGGAUACAAUGUUAGGGGCUCUACCUUCCUAGAGUUCACCUUCUGCAGGAGGCAGACAGACACAAUGUUGGGGGAGCAGACAGAAGGAUACAAUGUUGGGGGCAGGCAGAAGCAUACAAUGUUGGAGGACAGGCAGAAGGAUACAAUGUUGGGGGACUCCACCUUUGUAGAGUUCACCUUCUGGGGGGAAAGGCAUGAAGUGAAGAAGAAGCUGUCAGAGUUACAGGAAAUAAAAGAAUCAAGCAGUGCAUUGCAGGAGGAGGAAGUGUGUACCCCCGAAGGCUGAGGAGGAGGGGGUACCAGGCAGACCUGUAACAGGGGACAGGCCCCCUAGGCAAGGGUCUGGCAAGUUCAAACACAGGAUGAUUCAGAAGACACCCAGAAGAUCAAAAGGAAGAAUAGCAGCAGUUGAGACUGGAGGAGGCCCAACACAAUGUGGGGCUUUGGGGACAAUGGAGAGCCACUGUGAGUUAUGAAUAUUGGGGUUCCCAGUGAGAGCCACUCUCAGCCACCAUCUGCUCUGACCUCAUCAGCACCAGCUUCUCUGCAAAGUCAAAACAAGUGUUCAGAGAGCAUCAGCUUUUAUUUCUACAGUAAUCUUUGUACCCAACCACCAUAGCGUUUUUAAUAACAAACUGGCAGAGAGUCAGACAUCUGUACUUGAAAAAAAAAAAGCCAGGCCAAGUAUUUCUAAAUGUUUUAUAUUUACUUGUAACGUUAGAAUAACCACGAGGUUGCUUUCUACAUAAUCGGAACCAUUCUCAUUAGGGUCCCACAGACCUCGUCCUUCGUGGGUUUGGGUGGUGGUUUUCAUUAUGGCAGUGACAUUGAUCUGACGGGAGUGAAUCUCUCCUUGAACAUUUGUGGAAAAAAAAAUGGGGAAGAAGUUGAGAGGAGCCAAAGCAAGCUAGGAAAAUGAGAACUCAGGAAAGAUAACCAUCAGCUUGGCACUGGGGUAGCAUCGAAGGGGUCCAGGCUUUGAAGUCCAACAAAGCUGGGCUGGCAGUGGAGUUCAGCGAGGCAACCUUAGGGGAGUCACUUGACAUCUCUGAGCUUCAGGUCACUCCCUGGCCCUAGUUUGUGCAAUUGUGCUGAGGGCCAAGAAGGGUAUCACCAGCGAAGGGUCUGAGCCAAUUUUGCUCCCUGAUUGCAACCUCCAAAAUUACUGUCUCCACUAAGUUGUACUUGAAGUUUGUCUGCAAGUUCUAAUAGAUAAAAUACAAGAUUCCCAGUUAACCUUAAAUUUUGGAUUGUAGCCAGCAAUUAGUGUAAUCCGUUCCUAUUUGGUAUAUUGCUUAGAAUAUACUUGGAGUCGUAAAAAUAUGUACGCACACCUAUCAAAAAUUUAAACUUGACUGGGUGCUUUGUCUGGAGACCUUUUUUCUAAAAGUUUAAUUAUCAAAAGAACAUCUAUCUGGAGUGGCUUUUGAGAGCUGGCCCAGGCCAGCCAUGAGCCAGGCCCCUGUGUCAGGAACACUUUAAAGCACAGACUCCAUUUGUAGAACAGACCUGACUUUGAGUAGAGGCUCUGGCAAGACGGAGCCGGAAAGCAGCUAAAGAGCUUGCGGCAAUCCCAUUUGGUCUGCUCUGUAGACACACCACACAGAGGCAAAUAACCAAAGAACCUCAACCUAGUCAGAUUGCUCCAGAAUAAACCAGGUUUAUCUAUUCAGAAUCCAGGUUUAUCUAGCAUCCUCUGUGGCCAAUGGGAAGCCAGGUCUGUGAGCCCGGGCUGUGAAUCUUUCUAAAUAACACAAACUGCAGGGUUAUAUACCACCUACUUAUUUUAUGCCUUGUCCGAAAAGGAGGUUAAACUCCCUAAACCUUCCUCCCGGCCCAUGGAUGCCAUGAUGGCGAAGUUGGGAGUUAUGCAUGGCUUGGCACACACUGAGGGAAACCGCUGAGGAAGGGAGGGGAAGUCAGGCCUGGUCCCUGAUCACAUCCCUGCAAGCUUCGAGAGACUCCCGAGGACGUCCCAGGAGACUUAGGCUGGGCUUAUAAAGAAGGAUCUUGACAUCAAGAAGAGCAGCCAGCCAGUAAAUUCCUACUUACUUCAUUUUCUAAGGCUUCUGAAUGUGUUUUGAAUUUUCUCUAAAUUAAGAUAAUCAUGAAAGGUUAAGAUAUUUCAACAGAGUGCCACCUGAUCCGAGGGCUUGAAUUGUAUGCCUAAUUAGUUCCUGUGCAUACGGCUCAGAAUGUCUUAUAAAAACAGGGUAAUGACUUGAGGUAUAUUUGGGUAUUAGAUGGGGCAAUGUUAAAGGAACAUUCAAACCCAUCUCAAAGCCUUGAACCUGCCCUUGAUCUGGGCUGGGAGCUUUGGCUGACAUCUGUUUCAAGGAGAUACAAAAGAAAGAGAAAAGGUAAAAAAGGAAGAAAGAAAGAAAGAGAGAAAGAAAGAAAGAAAGGAAGAAAGAGAAGGAAGGAAUCAAAGGAAAACAAUGGCUUUACAAACUCGUACCCAGAUAGACAUCCGGCAUUAAAAUACUUCAAAUUCAGCACAACUGGAGGAACGUGUGGUCUGGGAAUAGGAGUUGGGGACAGUGAAGAGGAACUUAUGUCAGGAUACACAGAUACCCUUAGAACUGCUGGAGAAAUAGGCCUCACUGUGUCCAGGGAGGGAUCGAAUAGGUCACAAAUGUCCCAGUGACUUUCGUUCCUGUCUUGUGCUUCAGUUCCCAGCACCCCAUCAUGUAUACCUGUGUGGAACCUGAUCCGUGUCAGAGACACUCCUCCUACAACCCUGCUCCCAUGGGAUCCCAACUGCCAUACUCCACUCUGGGAAGGUACUUUCUGAGACUCCCCAGGAGGAGUGCCGUGCUACAUGAACAUCCCUAGGCCCCUCCCUAGCUGCCUUCUCCAUUUUUGCAGCCAAACUCCUCUUCUCUAGGUGCUCUACGUCUACUCUGUAAUAUUGGCCGCAUGUUGAAAAUGGCUGCCCGGGACUGGGGAUUUAGCUCAGUUGGUAGAGUGCUUAGCCUGCACCAAACCCUGGGUUCACUCCUCAGCACAAGGCACUCACAUAGACCUGCUGUGGUGGCAUAUGCCUAUAAUCCCAGAACUCAGGAGGUAGUUACAAGAGGAUCAUGAGUUCAGGGUCAUGCUUGGUUGUAUAGAAAUUAUAUGUUUUAGGCUAGCUUGGGCUACAUAAGGUCCUGUCACAACAAACAAACAAACAAACAAACAAACAGAAAACCCAAGAGAAUAAGCAAUUGACAAAAAGAAAAGGAGGAAAGAAAUUGUGGAGGAAGGAGGGAUGGUGGAGGGAGAGAGAGAAAGAGAGAGAGAGAGAGAGAAAAUCAGCUAUUUACCAACUCAGAUCUUUAAAGAGAUCUCAGAGGCCUCUGCCUGUCCCUUUACACCUAUACUGCCUCAGGCCAUUCAUUCAUCUACUCCUUCUGUCCUUUGGCUAAGGGUCUCCUCAGCACCUGUUGGCUGGGUUUAUGAUCCACGGAAUACUGAACAGCUCCAGUGAGAGAGGAGUUUGAGGGCAGACCCCGGAAGGGGCAUCUGAGAGAUGGGAUACAUCAUACAUCACGACACAGUAAAUAUAAGAGGAAAAUGACUCUUCCAGAAGAGUCAACAGGGAAGCUUCUCCACACACACACAGUAUGUGCCAAGCUCUGAAUGGAAUACUGAUUAAGACAAUGGUGACUCAGGGUGACAAGGCCCUCCAGGAGAAUGAAAGAUAUGAACCAAACGCCGAAGAAAGGAAGCCACGGUGUGUGGUCCAAAAAUAACAAGUGGCUGUACAGCGUCCAACCAUCUACAGCUCACCUGCUCAUCUGGCCCUCGAGCAUUCCUGUCAGGGUGAUCGGAGAAGCCAGGAGGCAAUAUCGUAUAGGAAAACGAAUGGGGUCUCCGUAUGCAGGCUGAUCCCCCCUCCCCUACUGACCUGAGCAGAUCUGCCUGCGCCAGCUAUAAAUCUACUGGUACCAUUUCUUUUUCGUCACUUUCCUAAUCCUGUGCCCUUGGUUUCAUGUGCUGUAAUUAUUAACAUCUGCUUUCUGAGCCCAGCACGCAUGGAGUUUGCAAAGGCAGUUCUGGGACCAGAACAAUAGUGACAGCUGUUUCAUUUAGCCUAGGGCCAGCACUUCCUGUUCAGACUACAUCUGCCCUUCUGUGUCCAAUUUCGGUUUUCAGGGUUUUGUGUUUUGUUUUCUAUUUUUUUCCCUUCAUCUGACCUUACUAUAUGUUUAAGAGGAAUUUCUAGCUUAGCACUGUUGCUAGGAUUUCUAGCACAUAUGCUUAUUCUGUUAGCAACAGGCAGAGACAGACAGAGAGUUGAGAAGACCCAGACUGUCCCCAGCAGCUAAGAGGGUAGAAGGAGGGGACAGGGUAAAGAAUUGACUAGGACCAUAGUAGCUACCCUGGAAAGGUUCCUAAGCCCUCAAAGUGACCUCUCUGGAAAUUAGGUACAGGAAAGAUGGACCUAGUCGAUCUGCCCUCCAGCAGAGGCUCAUCUCCUUGGCUUCUUUGGUGAGAGAAUCACCAGACCAUUCCUUCAAGGAAGACGUUCAGGGUGGCCUCUCACAUGCAGAGGCUCCUUCUCUUUGGGCAGCAAGCAAGCUGCUCAAAUAAGGCAAGAGGCAGAGAGAUCCAGCUUCCCUUUUCCCUUGGAGCCAACAGCUUCGUGCCUGAAACCCCCCGGUUCACUCAGGGAAGUCCGUAGGAUAGGUAAGACCGUAUGACAUGGUCAGAAUAAAGGAAUGUGGCCUUUCAUGAUAUUCACACAGCUACAUGUGAAUGUGGAAGACAAAGAAAAUGGGAACCACACCCUCUACUGCCCUUCCACCCACCCAGCUCUUCCUGGUCUAAUUCCAGAUGGCUCAUACCCAAAGUCUUCUGCCCGGCUGGCACAUAGAUGUCAAGUUGCUAGCCAGAGACCCCCAUCGCAAAUGCCAGGUUAGAUGUCCACAGGCCUUGCUGGAUAUUAAUCACUAUGGCAGGGCGAAAGCCUAACCUUCCCAUGGAUAAUCUUGUAUGAAGCUACAAGUGAUCCGUGGAUGCCCAAGUCCGAGAGUGAGAGUCUCGGGGUUCAGAGACAUGGUGACUCGAUGUCUGUGCAUUUUAUUGGAUCCAGGGAGGGCAAAGGCCCUGGAGUUCAGCACCCCUUCUUUUAGUUUCCUUAACAGGUGACAACAGUGGGCCCCAGAGAGAAGCAACUACUAGUCUACAGCUUCAGCUUGGCCAUACAAGACAGAGCCAGGUAGAGGGUAUUCACCCAGCAUGCCUCUCUCGUAAGUAUGGUGCCUCUUUACACCAUAGCUCUCCUCUACUCCCUUUUUAAGAUAUGUCUUUUAACUUAAGUAUAUGGUGUGUGUAGAAAUGUCCACCUGAGACCAGGUGCCUGCUGAGGACCAAGGACUCAGCUUUCCCUGGAGCUGGGAUUUCAGAUGGCUGUGAGACUCCUAACAUGGGUGCUGGGAACCAAGGUCAGGUCCUUUGCAAGAGCAGUAUGUGAUCUCAAAGCAGAAGCAUCUCUCCAGUUCCUCUUCUAGGACCUUCUAAGUGGCUCUGGACCCCAUUCUCAUGUACAUAGAGUGAGGCAGCCCAGGGAGACCCUGAAGUUCAGUUCUUAUGUCUGAAGCCCACUUUGUUAUGGUGGCUCCUGGCUACUAGUGGACAGCUGUCUCCUACUAGCUCCUAAGACAAGAACUUGAUUGAACCGGAUAUAAGGACCUGUGUCUUUUCAUUUGACUUGAACUGGAAGUAGCCAAGAUACCUGAUUCAGGCUGUCGGACACUUCAUAGGCUUCUCCCUAAGCACUGGAAUCCAAAGUGCAAAUUAUAGGCUCUCAGUGAGGCCAGCCAGGGCUCCUCCAUCUUCUGCCUAAGAGCCUGCUCUGUGAUGGGCAUGCCAGGCAUCCCUGCGGGGGAUGGGGUGGAGGUGGCUCCUUGCUUCCUCACUGUGAUGGGCAUGCCCAGCCACGCCCACCUAUGAGUUCCUGCCCCCACCCCCACCAGCUUCCUCACCCAGACUCCCCUAACACACUCCUUUCUCUUUCUCACUCACUCCUUUUCUUCUUAAAGUUAAUUGCAACUUUUUUCUCAGCGCCCUGAUCUGGAUAAGCCACAUCUCAUUAGAAAAAGAUUUAGCCAGAGCCAAAGCAGGCUGGAGAAGGAAUCCCUAAUCAACAGAGAAAAGAUUUGGGUGUAAUUGCUCUCUCCCGCCAUUCUCGCCCCCCCUCCCUCUUCCAAUCUUUUUCUGCUCAUUAAUCUGAAAAGAAAGUCCCGCUAAUGUCUGUGUUCAAGUAUCUGCUGCAGCAGCAAGCAAAUCCAGGAGCUUGGGGACGGGGGUUUCGAAGGGUGUCACACAGAGAGUUGUGGUCAUGGUUGGGGUUCAUGAAUGAGAUGGUUUGCGGAGGGGGGCUUGGGGGAAUGUUGAAGGGUUUGGCUUGAGAAAGUAUGCAUGAAUGUUUGUGAAAUGCUGUGGUCGUUGGGGUGUUAGGAGUGGUUGUUGGUAUGGGAGUAUGAAGUGCUGAUAAUUGGGUAUCUAAAAAGAAGCUCUUCACAUUGUGUGUGUGUGUGUGUGUGUGUGUGUGUGUAGCUCUUUGGUUAGUGCUAUGGAUAUAAUGAAGUGUUCUGACUAUUAGUUGUGUAUAUGAAGGCUUUGCACUAUUGGGCAGUGAGUGAGUGUGUGUGUGUGUGUGUGUGUGUGUGUGUGUGUGUGUGAGAGAGAGAGAGAGACAGAGACAGAGAGACAGAGAGACAGAGAGACAGAGAGACAGAGAGACAGAGAGACAGAGAGACAGAGAGACAGAGAGACAGAGAGAGAGACAGAGAGAGAGAGACUUCCUUCAUUCAGCAUUGUGUAUCACCUAACUCAUGGCCCCUCUUUUGUUUCCCCCAAUGCCUGAGUAAAUUCUGACAGGUGCUUAGAUGUUGACACAGGGGAACUGAACUAAGGAGCAACCCAUUUCGCAGGUAGGAGCCCUGAUCUUCCACCACCCAACACUAGCACCUGAUUUUUAUGUUCUCCCUUUAAAUUUUGGAUUUCCCCCAAAUAACAAACUACCACCGGUUGAAAGAGAGUUGGAUAAUUGGAUUAUUGUUUGUUUUUAAUUGAAAAGGUAAUGUGUGCUUAAAACGAAGGGGGAAAGGCAGAAACACUCUCCUGGUAAGAAGUGACUACAGAGGCAAUACAGGAAUUGCCUUCCUCAGCACCGGAAACCAGACUCCUUCCCUGGAUCUCCUUCCUGGUGCCUCUUACCUGCCACCUUGUUGAGGAGGGUGUUGCCUGCUGGUGCCUAUCAUAGAUUACCCUGAACUUGACUUUUCACAUAGUCACGCCCCUCAAAUGUUGUUCUUCCUAAGCACAGGUCUGCAUCUGUGUUCUGCUCUUAUUUAACACAUAACAUUUUAACACACUAAUUAAGAGAAAUAACAAAGUACCCAUUUUCUGGGCAGGGAGGGUGUUGGGGAACCAGUUCUAUCCAGUGAAGCAUUCCCUGGUAUCCUAGCAUGAUACUGAGCCUUUGGUCAAUGCUCAGAAAAACAAACAAACUAACAAAACAAAACAAACAAAAAAAACAGAGAAUCUUGUUCCCAUUCAUAGAUGAGGAUUCUGAGGCAAAGAUAGAUCUGGGCAGACCCACGUGGCUCACAACAGAGCUAGAACACAAACCUCGGCAGUCUGACAGCAGAACUCUGAACAAAGGAAGGGCCUUCAAGAAACUACAGAUGAGGAAAAAAUGGCGGAUGAGUCUCUGGUGCUCCCAAGCACACUACCGUGUUCAAAAGCCCCAAAGCUGUGCCAGAACACCUACACAGGAGACAUAUCUCCCAUGGUCUCAUCUCAGACUUAAAAGAUCCUUCCUCCUUGAUGACAUUUUGCUCCAGCUCUGUGGGCCUGACCUUGGCCCCCUCCAGAGUCCCAGGGAUGACUGCUCCAAGACAACCCAAACACCACCCCCAUCUUGUUCCACCCAGGUAGGUGAAGCCAGGUUUGAGCCUCUAUAUGUUUAUAAAACAUGGCCCAUUCAUGAUUACAGGCUGUCUCCAUAACUAUCAAGCGAUAGCAAUGGCCACAGAGGGCAGCUCUGCUCCAGUCAUGCAGAGUGGUCUGGAGCUCACUGAGGCAAGCUUCCAAGUCAAAGGGCAAAACCAACAUCUAGUGUCUCAAGGUGGCCAGGAUCCUGGCUCUGGGGUCCUCUAGGACCAAUCCCACUUCAUAGAGGACCAAUCCCACUUCAGGGAGAGCAGGUUCCAGCAACUGUCCCAUCUCAGCUCAUCGUGCUGGUUAAAACCAUCACACCUUCAGUGGACAGAGGACAGGGGGGAUAUCUCCAGAGAAUGUUAAGCCCCAGGAAGAUUUUCAACGUUUGUUGGUGACCUGCUGAGAGUAAGGAAAAGCAAGAACAAGACUGAGCACCUGGAUAGUUGACACUAGCCACAAGAGGCCAUGGAGUGUUUGAGCUAGAGGCCAACAGUGGCCUGUAAGGGCCGAUGGCACCAGAUUCGGAAGACACGGUGAGAAAUGAAGGCAUAAGUGGCCUGGCUAUUCACUAGACCCAGCAGGAGAGUCUGAAGAUGCAACAUGAGGUGACUUACAAAAACCAAGAAUGGUCACACUCAGUGCUUUGAUCACCUGUUCUCAGUUGCUUGUCUAUUCAUGUAUUUAUCUAGAGACAGGGCCUUGCUCUGUAACCUUAGCUCAUCCUUAUGUGAACAGUGUUGUCUGAGCACAUAGUGACUCCUCUCAGUAGAUACCGCCUAUCACAUGACUGAGAGUGAACCGCAGGGACGGUCGGGUCUUUUGGUGAGGGGUAACCUCUCUCAUGUCACCUUUAAACAGUGAUUCUCAAUCUACCUAAUGCUUCAACCUUUAAUACAGAUCCUCAUGUUAUGGUGCCCCCCCCCCAUUGUAAAAUUAUCUUUCUACCUUCAUGAAUCACAGUGUAAAUAUUUUGGGAAAUAGAGGUUUACCAAAGAGGUCUUGACCUACAGGUUGAGAACUAUUGCUUUCAGAGUCAUUCAAUCUGAAAAUUCAGAGGAAAAUGCCACUGAUAAGCCUUGCGGGAGUCGAUCAUCACAUCAUCCAAGUGGUAAUAGUCUGGCCAACUGAUUGGCCAGUUCUGGGUCAACAGACUCAGAUGCUCUAGCAAGGCAUACCUUGAAGCCCCACCCCAACCUCCAAACAGACACACUCGAAUGCUGAAUUUGACUUAAGGUGGCUUCACCUUGAACUUGGCUUUUGAAGGUUUUGUUACUGCUGCAACUCAAUUCCCUGAUUGAAGGGGUAACAGAAACACCCAGAAAGAAGGCUUACUGACGUGGGGUGGGUGUUGGCCUGGUUCUUGUAAUGUCAUCUGCUGGAAUCUGACUAGAAUAAGACUAGAGACUUUAUACUUCGAGAUGCGCUAGGGACUAAGUUCUUUCCCCAGAUAGUAGCCAGCAGGCUACACUUUCUGUCCUUUGGAGGAGUGACACAGAUCCUCUCCGCUGGCCUUCUCCACCCUCUUCUCCCACUGUGGGAGACUGCCUGACCUUGUUUCUAUUCAACCUUUUCUCAAAUUUUUACACCUGAAUUUUGGUAAACAACCUCCUGUGCCAUGGAUAGGGGCCUUAUCGGCUCCCCAGAGACCUCCUACACCAAACCCUUUUGUUAGGGGGAAAAGCCUGCCUUAGAAGAAAGUGGAGCGGGAGUUCACUCCUCCCAGCGUUGUUAUCUAGCCAUUGAGAGACUCUUGAGUUCAAAGCGCCGCCGCUCCGCAGUCUCUGGCGUUCCUCGGCUGCCCUCUUCUGGGAAGCCCUAGUAUGACGUGAUCUCCUGGCUAAUUUACAAGGGAAGAGGCCCGUAUUCACUCAAGAAAUAUUUAUUGAAAAGAAAUUGCGCAUGCGUCAUAGUUCUGGACUCUUGGGAUUCAUCGCUGAACAAAACAGACCGAAUCCUGUUCUCUUGCGUCGUGGUUAUGCAAAAUGAGCAGCGGGUGAAAAAAAAUCAGACGUAAUACAUGACAGGGGAGCUGGAAAUAGCGAGCGGGUGAAAAAGCAAAGCAAGUUGCAAUGCGCUUUUCCGAGUCAGCUUCGUGAAGAAGGUGGCUUUCAACCAAAGACUUGAAGAAAACAAGAGGCUUUGCUUUGGAACUAAGCAUAUAAGUGACAGGGAGAUGGCCAGUCGGCCAAAUGCUUGCUGUGCUUCUAGUUAGGGUUGUGGUUGCUGUGAUGAAACACCAUGACAAAAAGCAAGCUGGGGAGGAAAGGGCUUGUUUGGCUUAGAAAUCCUAAAUCAGCUCACUUAGGGAAGCCAAGUCAGGAACUCAAACUGCACAGGAACCUGGAGGCAGGAGCUGAUGCAGAGGUCAUGGAGGAGUGCUGCUUGAUGGCUUGCUCCCCAUGGCUUGCUCAGCCUGCUUUUUUAUAGAACCCAGGACCACCAGCCCAGGGAUAGUGCUACCUUCAAUGGUAUGGGCCCUCUCCGACCAAUCAUUAAUUAAGAAACUGCCCCACAGACUUGCCUACAGCCUGAUCUAUGGGGGCAUUCUCUCAUUUGAGAUGCUUUUCUCUUAAGUGACUCUAGCCGGUGUCAAGUUGACAAAAUUAGCCAGCUCACUGUGUAAGCAUGGGGACCUUGGUUUGAUUCCAUAGAACAGAGAACUUACAUUUUUUAAAAAAAGAAAGAAAAAGCCAGGCAGGGUGGUGCAUGCUUACAAUUCCAGGGCAGGGGAGGGAGAGACAGGCUAUCUGGGGUUUGAUAGCCACGCAGUCUAGCUGAAUCAGUGGAGACACUGACUCAAAGAAACAGUUUCUGAAAAAUAACACCCACGGUUAACCUCUGGCCAGAGCAUUCAUACCCACAUGUGGGUGUCUCUCCAGGGCACUCUGUGAUUCUGAGUGUGGAGGUUAGGCAGCUAACUAAGGUCCUGUCUCCGGACUCAUGUAUGCAAAGGAGCUUUCAGUUCACUAGUCUAUUGCACAACGAGGGAACUGCCACAGACAGACCGGUUUUCUUUAAGGUCCUGUGCAAUGGUUUGAUUUGGGGGGAGGGGCAGAGUCCCAUAAUGUAACCUAUGCUGGUCCUGAAAUCUUGGCAGUCCCUCUAGGCCUUGGGUUACAAGUGGCAGGAACCACCAAACCUUUUGCUUUUGCUGUGCUUGUUAAGAAUAGGUGUCUGCUGCUGACACUAGUCCAACAUGCUACUACUGGUAUAAGAAGUAUAGGGAAGACCAUGGAAGUUUCUAAAUCUGGGAGCAAGCACUGAGAAAAUGACCUAGGGGUCCUUGGGCCAAAGACACAUGAGAAUAAAACCAUUGCUAAGAAGUCAACCACUCUUUAAAAAAAAAAAGUGGAUUUUCUUGUCCCUGGGAGAUGGCUCAAUCGAAAAGUGUUUGCUGUGCAAGCGUGAGAGCCUGAGUUCAGAUCCCAGAAUCCAUGCAAACAGGCUUGCAUGGUUGUGCACAUCUGUCACUCCAGCAUAAAAGGGUGGUGACUGGCCGGCAAGUUCAGCCAAUUAGUGAGCUCCUGGUUCCAUUGGAGACCUUAUCUCAAAAACUAAGUGGAAGAAAGGAGACAAAUAUGAUCAAAUUACAUUGUAUGAAAUUCUCAAAGAAUUAAUAAACACUAUAAAAAAUAAGGUAGGAAGGAAUCAAAAAAUAUUGUUAUCCACAAUACCACAUGACCAUCUGUAAUGAGACUCAUUCACAAACGUUUGUGCACGUGUACACUACACAUAUAAUUUUAAGUAAUUUUUCUGCUGUUAUAUUAAAUAUUUAAGGACUGACUUGGGGCUUCAGAAUGAACUUUGAAAUUUUGCUGUCAGCUUUUCAUAUCCUCAGAAAGGUGAGAAAGGUUAUAUCUGUGUUCAGAGAACCCCACCUUGUUCUCCAUCACUCGAAGCGACCUUGGUGUUGAUGGUUAAGAGGGACCCUUUUCUCCAAACUGAGACUUGACUGGAGAGUUGUCAUUAUGUAAUACAAUUGUUACAAUGCCUGGAAGGAGCCAGGAACUUGGAGACUAAAGAGUUACACUGUAUCUAGAGGGAAGCCAAAGGCAGAUGUGGAGGUUUCUAAAGCAGUACUAGAAGAAUCUACCCAUUUCUUUUACAAAGUUAAAGUUAUGGACAUAAAGUCACUGCUUAUUUUUGUUUUAUGAUUUAUUUAUUAUGUAUACAGCAUUCUGCCUGAAUGUAUGUCUGCUAGCCAGAAGCGGGAACCAGAUCUCAUUACAGAUGGUUGUGAGCCACCCCAUGUGGAUGCUGGGAAUUGAACUCAGGACCUCUGGAAGAACAGCCAGUGUUCUUAAUCUCUGAGCCUUCUCUCCAGACCCCUGCUUACUAUCUUUUUAUGUACAAGAUCAGUCCAUACUGACAGCUUUUUGCUUUGUUUCUGAUACUAUUCCUGUGUAUUUUCAUGGUUUUAUCUUUAGAUUUAUUUUUAUUUUUAUUCACGCUUUUUGUGGUUAAGUCACUGUGAGGGUAUGCCAUGUGUGCAUGAGUGUGCAAUGAGUCCUGAAGAGGACGAUGGGUCCCCCAGAAUUGGAGUUAUGGGUGGUUAGCUAUCUGGCAUGUGCUAGGACUUGAACACUAGUCCUCUGGAAGAGCAGUAAGCACUAUUAUUCCCUGAGGCAUUUGUCCAACCCCCUGUGUUUUCCUCUCUUAGCUUGUGUCAGUCUUGCUAGAUAUGUAUCUUUUAGUUUUGGUAGAUAUGUAUCUUUUUAUCUUCCUUUUUUCUUUUUGUCUUUCUGUUAAGUUACUUUUCCUUUUCAGUUUUAUUGUUUUCUACUCCUGUUGUAGUUUCUUUUAUUCUGCUUUCCUUUGGAGUGACUCUGUAUGCUGUUUUCUGGUUUCCUAUGGUGAGAACACUAAUUAGUGGCUUGAAAUGUUCCUCUUUUCUAAUAUCAGCCUUUCUAAUAUCAUGCUACGAUCACCCCCUUUGGCACAGCUAAUCCUGUGUUCUGUGCAGUUUCCUCUUCUUUUGAAAUUCCUUCUUCAGCCCCAUGAAUGAUUCAGCGAUGUGCUCUAUGAUGUCCAAGUGUCUGCAAGUUUCUUUGUUAUUUCUGGCUGCUGAAUUUUACAAACUUGGGCAUUGUAUACCCAUGAGAACAGCAUGUGAUCCAUGUAUUCAACUGUCACAUCACAAUGCAGAGCUCAACACAUGCGUUCAAUAAAUAAAAACGAAUGAAUAGAUUAGCGUGUUUACUUCAAACUCAAUGAAGGGGGACUGCAGGCUAAAGGGGCUGAGGAAGAUGGCAGGAAGUUGGAGUCAUUGUCCCCAGGGAAGGAGAUACAGGUGCCUCUUGUUUUCAUCUUGCUAGUGCCCAAAUUCUCUACUGUAAGGAGACACUGAACUCACAAUCAGGUCUCUGAAUGCUUUCACUCUUUCCUGGCAGAUUGUAUCAGAAUCUGAAUUAUUGAAAGAGCCAACAAGGAGGCCACAAAAUGACCCCCAAGGAGAUCCUAGAGCUAAACUACCCCAUCCUCUUGCUCAAAGACCCUAACUAACCUCUCAAAUUAUCAUCAUGUGCAGUAGUUGCUGUGGCAGCCUUAUCUCAAGUGAGAACCCUGUCAGAAGUAGCAGGCUACCACCCUGCCUAGGGGAAGGAUAGAUAAGGAAAUGGCCUAAACCAGGAACCACCCUGCCUAGGGUGAGGACAGAGAGGGAAGUGACUUGGAAAAAAAGACAAUGCCAGGAAAUACCACAAAUUCCACAAGAUGGGCAGUACAGAGCCAAAUGUAGGAGACAACCUUCCCAUUUGAGUUGACCAAUAAUUUUAAAUGUUGCUCAGGGUAACCAAUCACAAGUCAUCCAACUCAGGCAACCACUGAAUUCCCCGCCAAAAGUUUAUAAAAAAGUGUGUGUUUUGUGAGCUCGGGGUCUCCUCUUAUCUGCAUGCUGUGGGACCCCAAUGUAUGUUGGAACAAUAAACCUCUUGCAGAUUGCAGCGAUUAUUGCCUCUGUGGCCUUAUUGAGUGGGGGUCUCCUGACAAACUCUUACACUCAGAGGUCCUGUCUCUAGUAGAGCCAUUUUAAGUUUAUCCCUGAGUAGCUUACAAAUAAAUGAGGCUCAUACCAUGGUUAUUUUAUUUUGUCUCUGACAACUACUGGGGGUAACCCUAAUCUACUCUUCUAACUGCUGGCCUGGCCUCUCCCCAGUGGUGUACCACAGAUACUUGCUUUUUCUCCCAGCCAUGUACUCAUGGUCUCUCUCCCCUCGUAGCAGCUUUCUUCUCUCAUUCUUCCUCCUUCUCCUCCUGGCCUCUUCUCACUCCUCUCUCUUCACCCCCAACCAGAUCAUUUCAAAACCUACCUACCUCUAAUCCCACCUACCUCUAAUCUCCCCCAGUAAUUGUCUGUAGUCCAUUUUACUUAGCCAAUAGUUUUAAAUCAAGGAACAAGGUUUGCACAACAAAAGCUUGUAAGCCUGAGACUUCACUCAUAGGCCUAGACCUUUGGAUACAGAAUUUAGCAUUACAAUACAUGGCAACUGGCCAAACUUUAACACAAGUGCACCUCAAUCUACCAGGCCCAUCUCACCCUUCUGUUCUCACUGUACAAGGCCUGAGAGUUAGGACAUUGACAGGAUAGACCCAGGAUAUCUUUUUAGGCUUUGACAUUGUGGAGUUGCUGGGAGGCAAUCAAUCCUUCAGAAAGGCCUGGACCAUUCUCGAAGUCAGGGGCAGGUCGACUGUACAGAGUGGGGAUGGUUAACUAGCUGAUUCUUAACAUUCCAGUCCUUUGUUUUCCCCCUCUUUUGCCUUAUGUUCUCCUCUGUUCGCCCAUCCUGUCCCUCAACCUCCCCAGAAGCCAGACUAAGGCUGGAUGCCUGGCCUCUGGAACUAAGCAAAACCAAACCCUUCCCAUCACUAUCAGUCUCAGGUAUUCAUUAUAGCAACAGAAAAUGGAUCAAAACAGCUGGGUAGUGUGAACAAGUGAAUGCAUUCAUUGUGUAAAGUCACUGGGAUCUGGUGGUUCAGAUCUGGAAUUAUAACAUUACCUCACUGGUACAUGUACAUACAUACAUACAUACAUACAUACAUACAUACAUACAUAUAUUCAUGUUAUGUAAUGGAGGGGCAUAGAGCACGGAGAACUCUCACAAAAACAAUCUCUGUCCCCAAAAUCUUAUCACCUGAGCUAGAUGAAAUUCCUAAGAACUGUACAGUAAUAAUCACAAUACAAGAUAAUUGGAUCAGUCAGCUUAUCAUGAGUGUAGCAAAAAAAAAAAAAUGAAUAGAAUUAGCUUAUAAUGAGAAAAGGUUUCUUCCAGCUCACACAGUUGUAGUUUCUAGUCUAUGUGGGAAGCCUAUGGUGAGGCAAUCUAUUAUGUCAGUGCUUGUGGCAGAUAAAACCUGCUCUGCUGAUAGGACCAAAGGAGAGAGAAGAGAAGAGAAGAGAAGAGAAGAGAAGAGAAGAGAAGAGAAGAGAAG